rnacentral:rRNA from 1 species
GAUGAACGCUAGCGGCAGGCCUAACACAUGCAAGUCGAGGGGCAUCGCGGUGCAGCAAUGCACUGGCGGCGACCGGCGUACGGGUGCGUAACGCGUAUGCAACCUGCCCCGCACCGGGGGAUAGCCCGCCGAAAGGCGGAUUAAUACCCCAUGGUCCCGGGGGCCCGCAUGGGCGAUCCGGGUAAAGCCUUGGCGGUGCGGGAUGGGCGAUGCGUGCCAUUAGCUGGCUGGUGGGGUAACGGCCCACCAGGGCAACGAUGGCUAGGGGGUCUGAGAGGAUGGUCCCCCACACUGGUACUGAGACACGGACCAGACUCCUACGGGAGGCAGCAGUGAGGAAUAUUGGUCAAUGGGCGGAAGCCUGAACCAGCCAUGCCGCGUGCGGGAUGAAGGCCCUACGGGUUGUAAACCGCUUUUCCCCGGGAAGAAUAACCCCGAUGAGUCGGGUGAUGCCGGUACCGGGGAAUAAGGAUCGGCUAACUCCGUG